rnacentral:lncRNA from 1 species
GACAGGCUACGGGAAUCAAAUUUGGAAUCCCGAAUGGUCCAGAAGAGGGGGCGGAGAAUGAUUCAGAGGAGGAGAAUGCUGAUUUCUCUAACCCUGAGGAUGACGAUGAAGAGUAUGAAAAUGAACAGUACUCUCCAAGAGAUGAUAAGUACAAAUUGCUGGAAGAACGCAUGCUAGCCAUGGAGGGUCAGAAGACACCUGGUCUGGAUUUCGAAAGUUUGGGUCUGGUCUCCGAUGUGACCAUUCCUCGCAAAUUCAA